UACGUAGGGUGCGAGCGUUAAUCGGAAUACUGGGCGUAAAGCGUGCGCAGGCGGUGAUGUAAGACAGUUGUGAAAUCCCCGGGCUCAACCUGGGAAUUGCAUCUGUGACUGCAUCGCUAGAGUACGGUAGAGGGGGAUGGAAUUCCGCGUGUAGCAGUGAAAUGCGUAGAUAUGCGGAGGAACACCGAUGGCGAAGGCAAUCCCCUGGACCUGUACUGACGCUCAUGCACGAAAGACGUGGGGAGCAAACGAG
rnacentral:rRNA from 1 species